CUCAAGUAUCACCAUCGGGGGUAGAGCACUGUUAUGGCUAGGGGGUCAUUGCGACUUACCAAACCAUUGCAAACUCCGAAUACCGAUGAGUGCGAGCUUGGGAGACAGACGUCGGGUGCUAACGUCCGGCGUCAAGAGGGAAACAACCCAGACCGCCAGCUAAGGUCCCAAAGAUUGGCUAAGUGGAAAACGAAGUGGGAAGGCUAAAACAGUCAGGAUGUUGGCUUAGAAGCAGCCAUCAUUUAAAGAAAGCGUAAUAGCUCACUGAUCGAGUCGUCCUGCGCGGAAGAUGUAACGGGGCAA
rnacentral:rRNA from 1 species